CCUUCGGGUGAGCGGCGGACGGGUGAGUAACGCGUGGGAACGUGCCCUUUGGUACGGGAUAACUGAGGGAAACUUCAGCUAAUACCGUAUGUGCCCUACGGGGGAAAGAUUUAUCGCCAUUGGAGCGGCCCGCGUUGGAUUAGGUAGUUGGUGAGGUAAAGGCUCACCAAGCCUACGAUCCAUAGCUGGUCUGAGAGGAUGAUCAGCCACACUGGGACUGAGACACGGCCCAGACUCCUACGGGAGGCAGCAGUAGGGAAUCUUGCGCAAUGGGCGAAAGCCUGACGCAGCCAUGCCGCGUGUAUGAUGAAGGUCUUAGGAUUGUAAAAUACUUUCACCGGGGAAGAUAAUGACGGUACCCGGAGAAGAAGCCCCGGCUAACUUCGUGCCAGCAGCCGCGGUAAUACGAAGGGGGCUAGCGUUGCUCGGAAUUACUGGGCGUAAAGGGCGCGUAGGCGGACAGUUUAGUCAGAGGUGAAAGCCCAGGGCUCAACCUUGGAAUUGCCUUUGAUACUGGCUGUCUUGAGUUCGGGAGAGGUGAGUGGAAUGCCGAGUGUAGAGGUGAAAUUCGUAGAUAUUCGGCGGAACACCAGUGGCGAAGGCGACUCACUGGCCCGAUACUGACGCUGAGGCGCGAAAGCGUGGGGAGCAAACAGGAUUAGAUAUCCUGGUAGUCCACGCUGUAAACGAUGAGUGCUAGUUGUCGGCAUGCAUGCAUGUCGGUGACGCAGCU
rnacentral:rRNA from 1 species